CUACAGUCCUCUCCCUACCUCUCUCUCUCGCUCUCCCGCGACUGCUCGCUGCCGCCGCCACCGCCACCUACGCCGGCGGCUUCCGGCGAAGCUACAACGUCCGCACAAGGCUCCCCUAUCCACGCAGGGCAUGGGCCUCCAUCACCUCUGUCCGCGUUGCCGCCUCUGUGCAACCCGGUCCACUACAACGCCUUGCUGCGCCUCCGGCAGGCAGAAACUGCGGCCUGGGGAUGACUUCCGACGGGGCAUCAUGGUCGGUGCUGGUGACAUCGGCGGCACGGCGCAGGUACUGACCAGGUCCUAUGCAGGCGACAACGGUGAUGUAGGGGUGUAGCAUGGACAGGGGAAACGUAUGGAUGGAGGUCUCCUACGUUGCCGUCGGCUGAGGCAAGGCUUCAUUGAUACCCAGGGGUUGUUAAGGUUGUCGCCGUCAAGUUUGUUUGUAAUAAGCAAACCACACAAAUAGAAGGAUAUGGAUUUGUAGAGUUCUACAGUCAUGCUGCAGCUGAAUAAGUAGUUGAUGAACACAGUGUAUUACUCAACUAGGCCCAUGAGGGUUGACCCUGCAACUCCCAGAAAAUCUCAGGUCAGGAGCUUGUGGAACGGUUUAGUUGAUGAUUAAUCGGUUUGAAGUACGAUCUUCUUGAUCAAGCAAGGUUGUCUGCAUUUUUACUGUUGUCUUCAACGGUAUUCGCCGGACACAAGGAGCUGCAGUACAUCGUGAGGGGCGGGCGGAACCUCUUCCCGUCUCCACGCUGGUCUCCAAGGCAUUCAAGGGCGUCAAGCAGAUCAGAGUCAUCGGAUGGGGCUCCAGGGUUCAGUCCCAGCUACACUUUGCUCCCCUUGCUGCACAGGUUCUUUCCUAACUCUUGAGAUUUACAUGUCUAUCUACUCAAAACACUACUUGAAUAUACACAUCAGUCAGUGUUUUCAAAUUGAGAGAUGGAUUUAACACAUAUUUUUUAUGUUCUGCUACUUGGGUUCAAGUCUCUUAAGUCUGUGCGGUGGCUCAUGAAAUAUUUCGAGGUGCUUUUUCAAGGUCCACCGCAGGCCCAGAACCUGAGAGAUUCUUUGGUUGAAGCCAUGUCUGACAUCAUCGUUAAGGUUUCAGAUUAGACUCGGGAAAGGUUCUAAAUCUUUUGAGGAAGCACGUGCAGCUGGGUUCACUAAGGAGAACGGGACAUUGCGACGCAUAUGCGAGACGGUUUUGGGCAGAGAUCUUGUGCUUCUGUUCAUCUCAGAUUCGGAAUAGUUGCGCAUCAUGCUAAUUAGCUUUCUGCAUGAUUUUAAGCUUUCCUUUAUCAAGUGUUUGUUUAGAUCAGGCCCAGUUUAAGGAUGAUGUUUCCUUGCAUCAUGUUGGUUUAAUUAAUUAAUUUAACUUGCAUGAUCUGUUUGGAGCAUACUAUGAAUAAUUCACUGCAUGAUACAUUUGUCGAGUCCCGCCAUCACUUUAUUCUAUCCUUGUAACUGAAGUUCUCAUCGGUUUCGAACUAAAGAAAAUGAUUUGGGGUGAAGAGUUGAAGGUCUGAAGCCAAAUGUUCCUAAUCAGGAAGAUGAUCCGCAGAACUCCUGUAAAACAAGGUCAACACUAUGUGCCAAGAUUGUUUUACUUCAUGAAGACACUUUUGUCAUUCAUUUUUAUUAUUCAAAUCUAUAUAUGGUCAUCAC